CAGAGGCUGCAGUGGUGGCAGCACUGAGGACAGAGCCUGAGAUGGCUGUGAGCAGAGAGCUGGGGGCAGAGAGGCCCAGAGGCAGAGACCGGCUUGCUGCAGGCAGACUCACUCUGAGGGGAUGGGAUUCUAGUGCUUGACCUGCCACUGUGGGAAUAACGUUGGGUAUAAACCUUUUCACCCCAAGAAUGUACCAUUGUCAUUCCUUGGUCUCAUUAAAUCCAUAGUGAACUUGCCUGGGGCUGAAACCCAUUGGCAAGACAAUUGGUGACAGUCAGCAGGGUUCAUUGUUGACCAAGGAAAAGAACAGGCUGUCCUCAUGGGAGGGGUGCUUCAGCGGGUUGCCCCUAUGGACUGGGAGAUGUUCAAGCGUUCCCUAGUGGACGUGUGGUCCGACAUGGUUCGCCUCCCAGAGGACUGGGCCCCACCCCAAGACUGGGAAGGGGUGGAGGCAACAUGUGAGGCAGUAGAGUUGGCCCUCAGCAAAAUAGGGAAUUUGUUAGAGAAACAGAGUGCCCGUGGGACUGCAGGAACGGUGGGGAGUUUUUUCCUCACAAUAUUGAGAAAAGCUGAAAGGGAGAAAGAGGCCCUCCUGCAGGAAGCACAAGAAGAGGCAGCCCAAGAACGUGAGCUGUGAGGUGCUGUUGAGGUGAAGAAUUUGUUGGUGACUGAAAUGGCGUCACUACGAGGUGCUGUGGAAAUGGUACAGGAUGUCAUGGUGGCCUGAGAGGAAGCAGCACGAGAAGGAGCAGCACGAGAGCACAGGCUGCCAGGUGUCCUGGGGCAGGUGAAGGGUGUAGCGGUGCCGUCAGCCCCAGGAAUGGAAGAGCGGAGGUCUGACGAACAGGUGGGGGUGGAGGGCCUGUGGUGCUGGAGGCAUCAGCUCCUCCUCUGCUGAAAGCUGGUGGAAAGCCCAAAAGAAAAUAAAGAUCUGGCAACCGCGGGUUCCUCCAGGAGAGGUGCAGCGCCCCCCUCCCCAGGUCGUGGAGCACUCUAUGCUCUGCUCCCAUCCUCAGGCUCAAGCAAUGAAAGCACAAAUGGAAAUAACAGUCUGCUAUUUGAAGGAAGAAUUUAAAGCGCCCCGUGAAGGUCACGAGAACCCAGAGUGGGUUGAUUUGAUAAAAGCAGGAGAGGACGGAAAGUCAAACAGAAUCUUACUGGAGCAGUGGUUCUGGGGAUGAAGCAGAAGCCAUAGACAAAGCAACAAGAUCAGCCUGUGUGUCUGCAAGACUUUCUGCUGGAGGGGCUGGAGGAGAGAGUUUGAGUUACUCAGCAUCCGUCUUUCUGGAAUCUGACUCUGAGCCGCAGUGCUUCGUGUCCCUGAUCACAUGGCCUCUAACCUGUGGCUCACCCAAAUCCCUCACGUCCCGAGGCUGGAUGGCUUGCCUGAUAAGAAUAUUUCUCAAGCUCUUCAGAUGCAUUGCCAAAACACUUGUCAAAAAGAUUGGAUCAUUUACAAUCCACUAGCAGUGAGUUUCCUUUUCACUCUACCUCAUUAGCAAUGGGUAAACCUAUUUUUAAGAAAAUGGACUAAUUUUAGAGCUGAAAGGAUCCGUCCUAUUACUUGAACUGUUGCCUAUUUUUCUUUGUUUGCCAUUCUAUUUUUCCUUGUGACUCGU